AGUGACGAUAGCCUAGGAGAUACACCUGUUCCCAUGCCGAACACAGAAGUUAAGCCCUAGUACGCCUGAUGUAGUUGGGGGUUGCCCCCUGUUAGAUACGGUAGUCGCUUAGCG
rnacentral:rRNA from 4 species